rnacentral:rRNA from 1 species
GUGGGGAAUAUUGGACAAUGGGCGAAAGCCUGAUCCAGCCAUGCCGCGUGUGUGAAGAAGGUCUUCGGAUUGUAAAGCACUUUAAGUUGGUAGGAAGGGCAGUAAGUUAAUACCUUGCUGUUUUGACGUUACCGACAGAAUAAGCACCGGCUAACUUCGUGCCAGCAGCCGCGGUAAUACGAAGGGUGCAAGCGUUAAUCGGAAUUACUGGGCGUAAAGCGCGCGUAGGUGGUUUUGUAAGUUGUAGGUGAAAUCGCCGGGCUCAACCAGGGAACUGCCUCCAAAACUGCAUGACUGGAGGAAGGUAGGGGGUAGUGGAAUUUCCUGGGUAGCGGUGAAAUGCGUAGAUAUAGGAAGGAACACCAGUGGCGAAGGCGACUACCUGGACUGAUACUGACACUGGGGUGCGAAAGCGUGGGGAGCAAACAGGAUUAGAAACCCGGGUAGUCC